rnacentral:lncRNA from 12 species
AAAGAAGGCACCACUGGAGUUUCCCUCUCCAAUGAGGAAGCCUUUUGCACCAUAUGUGAUUUCUCUGCGUGCCUGUUUCCUUUCCGUGCUUGCACCACUCACAAUCAGAUGGGUGUGCAGUGAGGCAGCCGGCGUAGCUGAGACCUCAAUCCUGCCCUGGGAGCGUAGGCAAACAUGGCCCUGCAAUGGAUGUUUCUCCUGCUCCUCACACCUCUGCUGGCAGCACACAAUCGUGAUAAGCCCUCUCCCAACACUUUUGGAAAACUCUCGGAGAAAGGAAAAUGUAAAGCUCCCUCUGACUGGGACUCCAGACUGCGGUUUUAUCCGAAGAGGAUCAGCUAUGACUUGAACGAAGUGGUGCAGCUCAACUGUACUGGGAGGUUUUUGCCAUCUGUACCACAGAUUCAGUGCAUUUCCAGAGGGGCACAGGCCAUGUGGAAUGAGACUGCCACCUGCAAAGAGACAUGCCAGCAGCCCCAGUGGGACUCACAGCUCCAGUUUAGCCCAAACCAGAAUUUUUACAGGGUCGGUGAAGAGGUGACACUGAGCUGCUUUCUGAACAGCACUCCUCCCCUUGCUGUGAUCAGAUGUGCAAACAGGAUUCCUCCAAAACAGAGCAAUGCCUGGGAGGUGUUGGCAAUUGGGGGAACAUGGCACAGGUUGGCACAGAAGCUGACCUGCACCAUGGCAAAAUGCCCAAAACCUCAAUGGGAUGCACAACUUCAGUUUUCAGAGAGCAAAACCAAAUACCCGCAGAAUACAGAACUGACACUGACUUGUCCCAAAGGGCUUGAGCCCUCCUUCCCCAAGGUCAAAUGUACAAAAGAAUUUCAGAGAGUGAGUUCUGGAAAACCAGAUUAUGUGGAUGCCUGGUGGGGCAGGAACAGCAGAGGUGCCUGGACACGCAUUGAGAGGGAUGUCCUGUGUACGGAAGGAUGCCAAAGGCCCCCAUGGGAUUCCAGACUGCAACUGGUACCAGACCAGGAAAACUAUGAGAAGGAUCAGGAAGUGUACCUGAGCUGCCCUAGAGGAUUCCAGCCAACCUACACUGAAAUCAAAUGUCAGAGUGAAUUCCAGUAUUAUGAUGUUUUGAUACACUAUUCUCUGUACAAAGAAUUUUGGCAUGGAAGAAACUCCACAGGUGCA